GUCCUUCCAUGGACGAGGAGGACAACGACCUGGACCUCGACGGCGAUGUUGUCAACCCCGCACAAGGUCGCUCGCACCCAAUAAGCAUUUUUUGUCAAGUUACCAUUGCUCUGUUUUUGCAAUUCGCUCGUUGUGCAGUAAACUAGUCAACAGUUUUUGUGAGCAUAGCCUCCUUGUUCAUCAAAUGAAGAAUCCUCCCAAGAAUUUAACCAUUUUCAUUUGUAAAAAAUGAAUGGCUGCUACUGUUUCUAGUUUUAGGUUUGGAUGAGAUGUGUGUUUGCAAGCUUGUGCUUAUGUGGUUGAUGAUCACAUAUGUAUUGGUGUUGCUGGUGUUGGUCAUGAAGUUUCUGUUAUGUAUGUUGAAAUUGCAACCCAAUGAGAGAAUUAGUAUUAGAAUGCUGCAUGUUUAUUAGGAUGUGGCUGAAACCAUUGGAUGACCUUCCUGGACAUGUUUUGUUGCUAUCAAUAUUUGUCCCAUGUUUUGUUUCCUUGCAUACUUAUUACCACAAUCUUUACUACUGCUAUUGUCGUAUCUACUAGUUGUGGUUCCCUCAAAUUGACUAGUUUUGUAGAAUAUCUCUGUUCACAUGUACACUACAACACCUUUGUACUAGUGUUGUUGUUGUUUUUUGGCAAACACCAGAGGCAAAUCAUAUUUGUCAUGCAGUUUUUGUAACUUGGCAUUUCUAUAUGGCCUGUUUAUAUUAUUAUACAUUGUGGUGUUCCAUACAUUUGUUGCUGGUUGAACAUGAUCAUUGGUUUGAUAUAAAAGUAGAAUUGUUCAUUGCUAGUUUAAUGCUCCAGCAUUGAUGACACUCCCUUCAUGCUUGCUGACCCACACCUUGCUCGGUUGUUCUCACAGUCCUGAUGAGGCCAUGAUGCUUACCUUGCUGGAGCGCAUCAACCCCGACCAUGGCACCACAUUCACAGUCUUGAGGUAGCCGUGCUGCAACUGCAUCAACGCUAUCUUCUCCGACUAGAUAAGUCUACGGUCUAUCCCAUUAUUUUCUUUUGUUACUUGGUCGAUGAGCCACAUAUAUUAUUGUGUUGAUUCCCUGUGUGAUGCAGAAGCUAUGGUGUUUUGUUUUGAGUCUGUUGUAAAUUGAAAUUGAUAAUGGUUUGUGUAAAAUUAGUGUAGAACAUAUAUCUUGUUAUCUUAAUUUGUUCGUGCCAUGCUCAAUGAACCAUCUAAGAUUGAAUCAUUUUCUGCGUUCAACUUCUAGAACCAUUCUGGGAGUUUUGGUAUUCAUGCAACAACUG
rnacentral:lncRNA from 1 species